rnacentral:rRNA from 1 species
CACGUAGGGGACGAGCGUUGUCCGGAUUCAUUGGGCGUAAAGCGCGCGUAGGCGGCUCGGAAAGUCGGUCGUGAAAUGCCGGGGCUCAACCCCGGGACUGCGUCCGAUACUCCCGAGCUGGAGGCAGGUAGGGGAGAUCGGAAUUCCUGGUGUAGCGGUGAAAUGCGCAGAUAUCAGGAGGAACACCGGUGGCGAAGGCGGAUCUCUGGCCCUUGCCUGACGCUGAGGCGCGAAAGCUAGGGGAGCGAACAGG